rnacentral:rRNA from 1 species
UACGUAGGCAGCGAGCGUUGUUCGGAAUUACUGGGCGUAAAGAGUGUGUAGGUGGUGUCGUAAGUUUGGUGUGAAAUCUCCCGGCUCAACUGGGAGGGUGCGCCGAAGACUGCGAUGCUGGAGUAUGGGAGAGGAAAGCGGAAUUCCUGGUGUAGCGGUGAAAUGCGUAGAUAUCUGGAGGAACACCGGUGGCGAAGGCGGCAUCCUGGACCAAUAUUGACGCUGAGGAGCGAAAGCCAGGGGAGCAAACAGG